rnacentral:rRNA from 1 species
GACAGAGGGGGCAAGCGUUGCUCGGAAUCACUGGGCGUAAAGGGCGCGUAGGCGGGAUGGCAAGUCGGUCGUGAAAUCCUUCGGCUCAACCGAAGAACGUCGGCCGAUACUGCCGUUCUUGAGGGAUGCAGAGGAGAUUGGAAUUCUCGGUGUAGAGGUGAAAUUCGUAGAUAUCGAGAGGAACACCUGUGGCGAAGGCGGCCAACUGGACGAGUACUGACACUGAGACACGAAAGCGUGGGGAGCAAACAGG